rnacentral:lncRNA from 1 species
AGGGCCGUACCCGUGGCAUAUGGAGGACGUGGCCCUAAAAAGCAAAAUUAAUUAAUUGAUUAAAAAUCAUUGCAAUUAAAAAAAAAAUGACAUUGAAAUGUCAGCUUGCCCAGCAAAUGGCUAUUUCUCCAACUCGUUAUUGUUUGCAGAACCCUAUUUUUGUGGGUAUUCUUCCACCUAUAAGCUACAGGAUGGUGGCCCCUUUGCCAGGCUCAAGGGGUGAAUGCUGUGUAGUCAAAGGAAACCAUGUAAUGUCACUCUCCUUGCCAGAGACAGCUUUAGAGAUGGGGAUGUGACUCAACUGCAGCCAAUAAAAAAUUUGAAGAAAAAAAAAAAAAAAAAAGGAGUUCCCAUUGUGGUGCAGAGCAAACGAACUCGACUAGGAUCCAUGAGGAUUCGGGUUCCAUCCCUGGCCUCACUCAGUGGGUUAAGGAUCCGGUGUUGCCAUGAGCUGAGCUGUAGGUCGCAGACGCACCUCAGAUCUCGUGUUGCUGUGGCUAUGGUGUAGGCUGGUGGCUACAGCUCCGAUUCGACCCCUAGCCUGGGAACCUCCAUAUGCUGCGGGAGCAGCCCUAAAAAGCAAAAGCAAAAGAAAAAAAAAAAAAAAAAGGAGAAUUCUGCUGCAGGUAUUGGUGGCUCCUAGGAAAGAUUUUCCUCCUGGAAGAAGAGAGGUACCCGAAGGGAAAUCCCUUCCUCUCACUUUGGAUUCAGUUGUGUAAAUGUGAUGCCCGGGGCCUAGGCUGUCAUCUUGCAGUCAUGAAGCAACAAACGCGAAGAUGAAGCAACAUAACUUCUUGUGGGUCAGAUAACAAAAUCCGUUUGUGUAAGCCCUCUCUAAUCAGAUGUUCUGCAAAUCGUUGCUGGAAGCAACUUGAGAGAAUUUCUGAUAAGGCCAGGGAGGUGAAUUGAAGAAUGUGUAGAAAUCAUUUCAUUAUUUUGACGGUUAUUACAAUAGUAACAGACAUUUAUUAGUACUUUGAAAGUGUAAAAGCACUUCCCCUCGACACACUUUAUGGAGAUACUUUACUUUUUGAAGGUAGCACCUUCACAUGGCACUUUCAAAAUUAAAAAUAUGUUUCCAUCUCUUGAAUCAAGCUGGAAAUGAGAGGAGCCAAGUGAUUUGCGUGUGAACAACGUUCAUUUUAUUUUAUUUUUGGCUUUUUAGGGCUGCACCUGCGGCACAUGGAGGUUCCCAGGUGUGGCCCUAAAAAGACAAAAAAAAAAAAAAAAAAAAAAACAACCAAAAAACCAAAACCAAAACCCAAACCCCAACUCCCAAACCCUCAUAGAUACAGAGAACAAAUUGGUGGUUGCUAGAGGGAAGGGAGUGGGUGAAACCGGUGGAGGGAAUCAAGAGGCACAAACUUCCAGUUAAAAAAUAAAUAAGUCAUGGGAUGUAAUAUACGGCAUGGUGACUACAGUCAAUAAUACUGUGUUAUAUAUUUCAAAGCCGCCAAGAGAGUAGUCUUGAAACUUCUCAUCAUAAGAAGAACAUUUUUUGAAACUUUGUAUGGUGAUGGAUGGUGAUUAGAAUUAUUGCAGUUAUCAUUUUGCAGUGUUCGCAAAUACUGAAUCCUGCUGUACACCUAAAACUAAUGUGUCGAUGACUCUUCAAUUUAAAAAACCAAAUAAAAUAACGCAUUUGGACAGGCAAAAAAAAUUUCCAUACUUUUUUCCAACCAUGGAUUGUCAUUUAUAUUUGACUACUUGCCUAUGUUAAUUUCAAGUAGCUCCUUUUUUUUUUUUUUUUUUUUUUUUUGGUUUUUCCAGCCGCCCCAUAGCAUAAGGAAUUCUCAGGCCAGGGAUCAGAUCCGAGUCACGGUUGUGACUUAACAUGUUGCAGCUUCGGCAAUGCUGGAUCCUUACUUAACCCACUGUGCUAGGCUGGGGAUCAAACCUGCAUCCCAGAGC